rnacentral:rRNA from 1 species
GGAGCCUACACGAGUGAGAAUGCAGGCAUGAGUAGCGAAAGACGGGUGAGAAACCCGUCCGCCGAAUGAUCAAGGGUUCCAGGGUCAAGCUAAUCUGCCCUGGGUAAGUCGGGACCUAAGGCGAGGCCGACAGGCGUAGUCGAUGGACAACGGGUUGAUAUUCCCGUACCGGCGAAAAACCGCCAAUACUGAUCGAGGGAUACUAACCGCCCGAAGCAUGACCGCCCGCCCUUUGGGGUGACGUGGUUUUUUGUGGAGCGCGGGACCUGAUCUUGGGAGGUAAGCGUAUUAACAGGUGUGACGCAGGAAGGUAGCCAAGCCGGGCGAUGGUAGUCCCGGUCUAAGGAUGUAGGAGGGACCAUAGGCAAAUCCGUGGUCCUGGUUUCGAUACCGGCUCUGAGAUCUGAUGGGACCCCCUCAGGGGGGAAUUUGGUGAUCCUAUGCUGCCGAGAAAAGCAUCGGCGCGAGGUUUUAGCCGCCCGUACCCCAAACCGACACAGGUGAUCAGGUAGAGAAUACUAAGGCGAUCGAGAGAAUUAUGGUUAAGGAACUCGGCAAAAUGCCCCCGUAACUUCGGGAGAAGGGGGGCCCCAACCGUGACGGCGACUAGCUCGCCAGGAGCGGAUCGGGGCCGCAGAGACCAGGGGGAAGCGACUGUUUACUAAAAACACAGGUCCGUGCGAAGUCGCAAGACGAUGUAUACGGACUGACUCCUGCCCGGUGCUGGAAGGUUAAGAGGACCGGUUAGCUCACUUGUGGGCGAAGCUGGGAAUUCAAGCCCCAGUAAACGGCGGUGGUAACUAUAACCAUCCUAAGGUAGCGAAAUUCCUUGUCGGGUAAGUUCCGACCUGCACGAAUGGAGUAACGACUUCCCCGCUGUCUCAACCAUAAACUCGGCGAAAUUGCAGUACGAGUAAAGAUGCUCGUUACGCGCAGCAGGACGGAAAGACCCCGAGACCUUCACUAUAGUUUGGUAUUGGUGUUCGGUGUGGCUUGUGUAGGAUAGGUGGGAGACUGUGAAGCCCGGACGCUAGUUCGGGUGGAGUCAUCGUUGAAAUACCACUCUGGUCACUCUGGAUAUCUAACUUCGGCCCGUAAUCCGGGUCAGGGACAGUGCCUGAUGGGUAGUUUAACUGGGGCGGUUGCCUCCUAAAAAGUAACGGAGGCGCCCAAAGGUUCCCUCAGCCUGGUUGGCAAUCAGGUGGCGAGUGUAAGUGCACAAGGGAGCUUGACUGUGAGAGAGACAUCUCAAGCAGGGACGAAAGUCGGGACUAGUGAUCCGGCGGCACAUUGUGGAAUGGCCGUCGCUCAACGGAUAAAAGGUACCUCGGGGAUAACAGGCUGAUCUUGCCCAAGAGUCCAUAUCGACGGCAUGGUUUGGCACCUCGAUGUCGGCUCGUCGCAUCCUGGGGCUGGAGUAGGUCCCAAGGGUUGGGCUGUUCGCCCAUUAAAGCGGUACGCGAGCUGGGUUUAGAACGUCGUGAGACAGUUCGGUCCCUAUCCGCUGCGCGCGCAGGAAAUUUGAGAAGGGCUGUCCUUAGUACGAGAGGACCGGGACGGACGAACCUCUGGUGUGUCAGUUGUACUGCCAAGUGCACCGCUGAUUAGCUACGUUCGGAUGGGAUAACCGCUGAAAGCAUCUAAGCGGGAAGCCUGCUUCAAGAUGAGAUUUCCAUACACCUUGAGUGUGAGAGGCCCCCAGCCAGACCACUGGGUUGAUAGGCCGGAUGUGGAAGCAAGGACUAAAGACUUGCGAAGCUGACCGGUACUAAUAAGCCGAUAACUUACACCA